rnacentral:misc_RNA from 1 species
GGAGAUGGCGUCCUUAGCUUCCACGAGUUUGCUGUCAUGAUGCGCUGAUUCCUGACGCUCCACAUAUAUGGACUCUGCUUCUUCCUUUUUAUUUAUUUAUUUGUUUAUUUAUUUAUUUUUCUGUAUAGUUAAUAAUGUUUCCUUCUAAAUUCAUUAAUCCAAAGUUUCAAUGGAAUCAUCUUCUCCCGACUGUAUCACCUAAGCAACAAGAAAAGGACUGAAAUACAUAAACAUCUGUUCUCUCAGGGCAAAAAAAAAAAGGAAGAAGCAGAGUCCAUAUAUGU